rnacentral:lncRNA from 1 species
GAAAAAUAUCUGUUUAUGUAGCAAUGCGAGCAAAGGAUUCGAGGCUUAUGAAAAAAUUGAAAAAUUUGCAGAAAGGGGAUGCCUCUUGAGAUUGAUCGAGAGCCGUUCACAGAGUCAACAGUGUUAGGAAUUUGAUCUAGGAUUUAUAUAAUCUAGGAAUUUUUCUCUCGGUCAUUUCCUAAAAUAUCUUAAUUCUUUCUCUCAUACGAGUUCAUAGCACCAUAUUAUAUAUCUGAUAAAGUUUCUUUUGUACAAUGGAAUCACAAGGUUGUUAAUUCAAGACAAUGGCCUCUGAUUUCUCGUUAUCGGGCUGCUGUUCAAACUCAGUCACCAAAACUUGAAAUGAUAGAUUCCUUGUUUAAGCUAGUGGAAGUUACAAAGGAUCAGAAACAUAUUUUUCAAUUAAUGAGGGGGAAGACUUCGGAUCAUUUUUUAGAGUCAAGAACAAGAAAGAGAGAAUAUCAAUGCAUGGAGGGCUUCUCUAACAGCGGACAUGUGGA